rnacentral:rRNA from 1 species
AGAGUUUGAUCAUGGCUCAGGAUGAACGCUGGCGGCAUGCCUAAUACAUGCAAGUCGAACGGAAUCUUAUAUGUUCCUCGUUUCGGAUUUAGUUCCGAGUUGGGGAACAAUAAGAUUUAGUGGCGGACGGGUGAGUAACACGUUGGUACCUACCCUCUAGUGGGGAAUAACUUCGAGAAAUCGAGGCUAAUACCGCAUAAUAUCUACGGAUUAAAGCAUUUAUGCGCUAGAGGAGGGGCCUGCGUCUGAUUAGCUUGUUGGUGAGGUAAAAGCUCACCAAGGCGACGAUCAGUAGCUGGAUCGAGAGGUUGACCAGCCACACUGGGACUGAGAUACGGCCCAGACUCCUACGGGAGGCAGCAGUAAGGAAUCUUCCACAAUGGGCGAACGCCUGAUGGAGCAAUGCCGCGUGCAGGAUGACGGUCUUCGGGUUGUAAACUGCUUUUAUAUAGGAAGAUUAUGACGGUACCAUAUGAAUAAGGACCGGCUAACUACGUG